rnacentral:snoRNA from 1 species
UCAGCACUUCCACAGGUCUACUCCCAGGCAGUGGGGCUAAGACUUGGUAGCUGGUGCUAAGAGUAAAAUCCCUUGGUUACUCUCUUGCCCUGGCCAUGCCUGUGGCAGCAGUGACUUAGGGGACAGUA